rnacentral:lncRNA from 1 species
UUCUGAUUUCCAUUAUAACUGCAAACUGCCUUUAUAUCUUUGCUUUAACUGCAUCUCACCUUAUCUCAAGUUAAAGUGGUUUACGAAUCAGCUUUUAUACCGAAAUCGCUUUUAUCGUACGAACGUCGUAUUUCAGUUUGCGCUUAUAUUCUGAUUUCCAUCAUAACUGUAAACUGCGUUCAUAUCUUUGCUGCAUCUCUCCUAGUCAAAAGUUGAAGUGAUUUACGAAU